UACGUAGGGCGCAAGCGUUGUCCGGAAUUAUUGGGCGUAAAGAGCUCGUAGGCGGUUUGUCGCGUCUGCUGUGAAAACCUAAGGCUCAACCUUGGGCUUGCAGUGGGUACGGGCAGACUAGAGUGCGGUAGGGGUGACUGGAAUUCCUGGUGUAGCGGUGGAAUGCGCAGAUAUCAGGAGGAACACCGAUGGCGAAGGCAGGUCACUGGGCCGUAACUGACGCUGAGGAGCGAAAGCGUGGGGAGCGAACAGG
rnacentral:rRNA from 1 species